UACGAGGGGGGCAAGUGUUGUUCGGAAUCACUGGGCGUAAAGGGAGCGUAGGCGGAUGUUUAAGUCGGGUGUGAAAGCCCGGGGCUCAACCCCGAAACGGCACCCGAGACGGCAGGGCUGGAGACCGGGAGAGGAGGGUGGAAUAGCCAGUGUAGAGGUGAAAUUCGUAGAUAUUGGCUGGAACACCGGUGGCGAAAGCGGCUCUCUGGCCCGGUUCUGACGCUGAGGCGCGAAAGCGUGGGGAGCAAACAGG
rnacentral:rRNA from 1 species